UGUGCUGAGUCUCAUUUUCCUGAGUCUCCUGGAUGCAAGAAGCUGAACAGAUGGGAGCUGUUGAUGUCACUGGAAAAGUCCUUUCCUAGGCUCCCCAACCCUACCCAAGAUCACUUGUCUUUGAGAUGAAUCUUUGUGGAGAGGCAUCCAGGGGCAGAAUUCUCUUGGAGCAUAUCCAAUCAUUGGUUGCCAGUAAGACGACAGGCCAGUCAAAACUGCAAGCAAUUCUGGAGGAGUGGUUGCCCAGAGGAAAUUCACCAUGCUGUUAUAAGAAGGGAGGAUUCAUGCUGGAGACAAUGCAUGGCUACCAUGUAUGGUAUCUAAUUGGAUCUUUCUGUCCCUCACCCAUCUUAUCAGGCAUCAAAAGCACUUGGGCUCACUGUCAAUGACUCAUGUUAUUCACGAAAGUGGAUCCUUUGCCUGGCUUGCUUCCCUGGGCUUCAAUCAACACCCUCUCUUCCAUCAAUAUGUGCUGUGCCAUUGAAAUAGUUUUGAUUAAAAG
rnacentral:lncRNA from 9 species